rnacentral:rRNA from 1 species
UACGAAGGGGGCGAGCGUUUGUUCGGAUUUACUGGGCGUAAAGGGCGCGCAGGCGGUUCUGUUUGUCGAGUGUGAAAUCCCCAGGCUCAACCUGGGAACUGCGUCCGAUACUGGAUGGCUUGAAUCCGGGGAGAGGGAUGGCAGAAUUCAGGUGUAGCGGUGAAAUGCGUAGAUAUCUGGAGGAAUACCGGUGGCGAAGGCGGCAUCCUGGACCGGGCAUUUGACGCUGAGGAGCGAAAGCCAGGGGAGCAAAGCGGGG